AGUUCGAUCCUGGCUCAGAUUGAACGCUGGCGGGAUGCUUUACACAUGCAAGUCGAACGGCAGCACGGACUUCGGUCUGAGUGGCGAGUGGCGAACAGGUGAGUAAUGUAUCGGAACGUGCCUAGUAGCGGGGGAUAACUACGCAGAAAGCGUAGCUAAUACCGCAUACGCCCUUCGAGGGGAAAGCGGGGACCUUCGGGCCUCGCACUAUUAGAGCAGCCGAUACUUGGAUUAGCUAGUUGGUGGGGUAACGGCUCACCAGCCCCGGCUGGCUCUAUCCGGCACUCAGGUGCGAGGCCCGAAGGUCCCCGCCUCCCCGAAGGGCGUAUGCGGCUAUUGGCAUGCAGGCGCGUUCCGGUGCAUUACUCACCCGUUCGCUGCUCGCCGCCGAAAGUCCGUAACGCCGCAUUCAUUUUGCAUGUG
rnacentral:misc_RNA from 1 species